rnacentral:tRNA from 1 species
UNAAAGAGAUAGGAGUUGAACCUACGACUAA